UACGUAGGGGGCUAGCGUUAUCCGGAUUUACUGGGCGUAAAGGGUGCGUAGGUGGUCCUUCAAGUCGGUGGUUAAAGGCUACGGCUCAACCGUAGUAAGCCGCCGAAACUGGAGGACUUGAGUGCAGGAGAGGAAAGUGGAAUUCCCAGUGUAGCGGUGAAAUGCGUAGAUAUUGGGAGGAACACCAGUAGCGAAGGCGGCUUUCUGGACUGCAACUGACACUGAGGCACGAAAGCGUGGGUAGCAAACA
rnacentral:rRNA from 1 species